rnacentral:rRNA from 1 species
UACGUAGGCAGCAAGCGUUGUUCGGAAUUACUGGGCGUAAAGAGUGUGUAGGUGGUUGGGUAAGUUUGGUGUGAAAUCUCCCGGCUCAACUGGGAGGGUGCGCUAAAGACUGCCUGGCUUGAGUGCGGGAGAGGGAAGCGGAAUGCCUGGUGUAGCGGUGAAAUGCGUAGAUAUCAGGCGGAACACCGGCGGUGUAGACGGCUUCCUGGACCGCAACUGACACUGAGACACGAAAGCGUGGGUAGCAAACAGG